CUCGUCCACCCGCCUACGAUCCUGACUUCGAGGCGGCCUUCGAAGCCUGCAAUGAAGCGUAUCAGCAGGCCGCUGCCCAGUGGAAUAGGCGAGAAUACGGCCUACAUGGCGUAUAUAGGAGAAAUGAUGAUCUCUAUGUCUACUCGGUACACCGCCACCGGCUC